AUUUGAGAUGGCCUCUCGCCCUAUUCAGUGUAACAGCUGUGGUAGUGGGUUUGGUCGCUCGCAUUUAAAUUGGAAGGGUAAUGGUGGACCGCACUUCUCCCUUAGUAGGACGUUGCGACCUGUCAAAUAAUAUCCUAAGUAUUUGGCUAAUUUGUCUGUUUUUAGGCAGUACUGAAAGGUAUUUCCUUUAACAGUUUUAGCCGUUUAUAUACUGGAUAUAAUUGACAGUAACGAAUCAUGGUGUUGAGCCACUUACUUUGUAAGUGUCCUUUAUGGCUGUUUGCAAGUGGGUUGGUUAAUUAGUUUUAGUCGGAUUUUGGUCCGUCUAACUAUUCCGCCUACUGUUGGUAAACUGUUCCUUGGACAGUGCUUAUAACACCGGUCGGCAGCGAUUCAGGUUCAGGCUCUUAUCCGACCCGUCUUGAAACACGGACCAAGGAGUUUAGCGUGUACGCAAGUCAUUGGGUGUAUAAAACCCAAAGGC
rnacentral:rRNA from 1 species